GAGAAGAAUCUGUAAAGCUCAGGAGGGAUAGCGCCAUGAUUGUCAGAUUCACAUUGAUUUUUUGGCGCUGUCCAUCCUGAGUUUCAUUGGCUCUUCUU
rnacentral:pre_miRNA from 1 species